AACGUAGGACGCAAGCGUUAUCCGGAGUUACUGGGCGUAAAGGGCAGGCAGGCGGGCUGAUAAGUCGGAUGUGAAAUCUCCCUGGCUUAACCGGGAGGGUGCAUUUGAGACUGUCAGCCUGGAGGGCAGCAGAGGAGCGUGGAAUUCCGGGUGGAGUGGUGAAAUGCGUAGAGAUCCGGAGGAACACCAGAGGCGAAAGCGGCGCUCUGGGCUGCACCUGACGCUGAACUGUGAAAGCCAGGGGAGCGAACGGG
rnacentral:rRNA from 1 species